AUCGCUCCGCGGCCAUUUGGCUAAGAACAAACGUAUCUGUUCUCAUCAGCUUACUAUCUGAUGCAUCCCUCAUCAGAGGCUCAUCUUAAAUUUAUCUUUGGCACAGAGAUGGAAUAAGGGCUUGCUCCAUCUACUUCACACACUAACUUGGCAUUGCAGAACCUCUGGGAAUGGUGCACCAGGG